rnacentral:rRNA from 1 species
ACGCAGGCGGCAGCUACACAUGCAGUCGAGCGGAACGAUACCAGCUUGCUGGUAGGCGUCGAGCGGCGGACGGGUGAGUAACACUUAGGAAUCUACCUAGUAGUGGGGGAUAGCUCGGGGAAACUCGAAUUAAUACCGCAUACGUCCUACGGGAGAAAGAGGGCAACUUGUUGCUCUCGCUAUUAGAUGAGCCUAAGUCGGAUUAGCUAGUUGGUGGGGUAAAGGCCUACCAAGGCGACGAUCUGUAGCUGGUCUGAGAGGAUGAUCAGCCACACCGGGACUGAGACACGGCCCGGACUCCUACGGGAGGCAGCAGUGGGGAAUAUUGGACAAUGGGGGCAACCCUGAUCCAGCCAUGCCGCGUGUGUGAAGAAGGCCUUUUGGUUGUAAAGCACUUUAAGCAGUGAAGAAGACCUAACGGUUAAUACCCGUUAGCGAUGACAUUAGCUGCAGAAUAAGCACCGGCUAACUCUGUGCCAGCAGCCGCGGUAAUACAGAGGGUGCAAGCGUUAAUCGGAAUUACUGGGCGUAAAGCGAGCGUAGGUGGCUUGAUAAGUCAGAUGUGAAAUCCCCGGGCUUAACCUGGGAACUGCAUCUGAUACUGUUAGGCUAGAAUAGGUGAGAGGAAGGUAGAAUUCCAGGUGUAGCGGUGAAAUGCGUAGAGAUCUGGAGGAAUACCGAUGGCGAAGGCAGCCUUCUGGCAUCAUAUUGACACUGAGGUUCGAAAGCGUGGGUAGCAAACAGGAUUAGAUACCCUGGUAGUCCACGCCGUAAACGAUGUCUACUAGUCGUUGGGUCCCUUGAGGACUUAGUGACGCAGCUAACGCAAUAAGUAGACCGCCUGGGGAGUACGGCCCGCAAGGUUAAAACUCAAAUGAAUUGACGGGGGCCCGCACAAGCGGUGGAGCAUGUGGUUUAAUUCGAUGCAACGCGAAGAACCUUACCUGGUCUUGACAUAUCUAGAAUCCUGCAGAGAUGCGGGAGUGCCUUCGGGAAUUAGAAUACAGGUGCUGCAUU